rnacentral:lncRNA from 1 species
GGAGUGACCUCUGUGGUUAGUUCAUCUGGAUUCCGUCAGUAAUAGGGUGAGAGGGAGGUCAGGCCUACAGGCCAGAAAAAUCCUAUGUAAAUUUUAGCCAAGCUGAGAGCAAUGUUAAGGCCUCUUGGUCAUACCUUACUAAGGGAUCAUUUUAAUAUAUUGUUUAAAAUACUCAAGGAAUUCUGUGCCAUCUAAGUAGUAGAAGAUUUUUAUUCAUUUAUUCUAGGGAAAACAUUAGCUGAUUGUGCACACUAUGUAUGCGGGAGGAGUAGGUUGCUUGAAUGGAGUCACAACGUCAUGGUAAUCUGCUCCUGGCAGAAACUGCGAUGGAUUUGGUUAGUUUUGACUGAGUUUCUGAAUCAGAGUCUGCAGAUGUGGAAGCCACCUCUGGAGAGAAAGCCACCGUUGAGAACAAGCAAUGACAGCUGUGGCGGUUUUACAAAAAAGAAAAAGGGGCAUCCUGGGGAAAAGCUGAGUGUUGGGAAAAAUGCUGAGGCAGGGCUUGUAUGUCUGACUUAAUGUAAAAGAGUCUUGGAACAUGUCAGGGGUCUGGGGUCUAAAACCUCUCGUGGCCUUUGGAAUAUGUCUAGACUUGCUGGCUCUUUGCUUCUAGCACUCACAGUCUCAUAGAUUGAUUGUAUCUUAAACUAGAAGAACAUGUUUCCCAUUAUCUCAAGUAGCAGAACAUGUUCCAUAUGCUGCAAAGAAAAUGCUAAACCGUCACAGCUGUAGAUCAUGCACUUGACACACCAGUUUCUUUCAACCCCCACUUCCUCACCACCUGCUUCUUUGUUUGAUCACCAAUAAAUAGUGCGGGCUUCCAGAGCUCAGGGCCUUCGCAGCCUCCAUACUAGCGUUGGCCCCCUGGUUCCACUUCAUGCACUCUUAAACUUCUCUUUUCUCAUUCCUUUGACUCCGCCAUACUUUGUAGCCCCCACAGCCUGGUGUUGGGUCUGAUCAUCCCAACAAAAUAAGAUUGCUACAGUUUUUGUAUGCAAUUUAUAAAAUAUAUGUGUUAUUUGACAAAAUAAAAAUGAUUCAAACUUGGUAUCUAGAUUAUAUGUUGGAUAUAUCAAAAUUAAUAAAGUGGACAUUUUAGAAAUCAUUUAGAA